GACAAAAGAGGGCUCAGGGAAGAGCAGGAUAAAAGAUACUUGUGGUCAGAGAUUCUGAAUCAAAGCAUGCAUGGUCACAGGAAGUUUAAGCAUGGUUCAAACACUGAUUUACUGGAGGGACUUCUGACAAUCCAGAAGAAACUGUCAGAAAUCUCCAGAGAGACACUGAGGGAAAUCUAUAGAAUAUAUAGUUGAAGCCACAAUAAUAAGAACCUGGCCAGCUGAUGGAUGAAAAUGUGUUUUCCUUCUACUGAAAUCUCCUUCAGAUCCUCAUCAAGAUGGAAGAGUGUCCCUUCUUUUUAAUUUUCUAGAUCUUCUUCCAAUUCUGUUAAACUCCCAAAUAUUUGAA